ACCAGCCGCCAUUCCCUCCUCUCUUCUCUUCUAUUCUCUCUUCCUUUCACUCCCUUCUCCCUCACGGUCCAUCUGUAGCCACGAGAACCACCCGCAGCAGGCGGCCUAGUAGCAGCAACUAGCUGCGUUUCUUCCCUUUCACCAGCAGCCGUCUGGUGCACCUGAACCCCAUCAGCCAAGCUACGUUAUGCGUAGGCAGCAACAAGCUGCUGCGUUGGGCCCUUCAACCUCCACGACAGCCUCGGUUUACCACCAUCACAACCUUCCCUUGCCCUCUUCAUCAUUUUUGCUAGUUUUAACUUUGUUCCCAGUUCAUAAGAGGAAAGUAGAACCUUAGUUGGUGAUUUUUUUUGUAACUUUUGGUUGUGCAGUGAUGCUUUCAGCAGGAGGAUCAUAGCUUGACAUGACAGGUAUAGGAGCUUCUUUUGCUUUACAUUGGGGGAAAGAGCGGAGUACGGUCGUAACAAUUGUGCCUAAUGCUUGUAGCUUCUAUAUUACUUGUAAAGUUUUCUUUUGGGAUUGUAUAAUUUCUUUCGUAUGGAGCCAUGUGACUCCUUGUAUGAUCCCUAGUUUCGUUGUGCAGUUUUUGGAUGUAUAGUAGUGAGAAUACUCCUUUAGUAUUCGUCAAA